rnacentral:rRNA from 1 species
GAGGUUUGGCACCUCGAUGUCGGCUCAUCGCAUCCUGGGGCUGAAGUAGGUCCCAAGGGUUGGGCUGUUCGCCCAUUAAAGCGGUACGCGAGCUGGGUUCAGAACGUCGUGAGACAGUUCGGUCCCUAUCUGUCGCGGGCGCAGGAAGUUUGAGGAGAGCUGUCCUUAGUACGAGAGGACCGGGAUGGACGCACCGCUGGUGCACCAGUUGUCACGCCAGUGGCACAGCUGGGUAGCUAUGUGCGGAAGGGAUAAGCGCUGAAAGCAUCUAAGCGUGAAGCCCCCUCCAAGAUGAGACUUCCCACAGCGCAAGCUGGUAAGACCCCUCAUAGACGAUGAGGUUGAUAGGUUCGGUGUGGAAGCGUGGUAACACGUGGAGCUGACGAAUACUAAUCGGUCGAGGACUUAUCCACA